rnacentral:rRNA from 1 species
UACGGAGGGAGCUAGCGUUAUUCGGAAUUACUGGGCGUAAAGCGCACGUAGGCGGCUUAGUAAGUUAGAGGUGAAAGCCUGGAGCUCAACUCCAGAACUGCCUUUGAUACUGGUGAGCUUGAGUCCGGAAGAGGUGAGUGGAACUGCGAGUGUAGAGGUGAAAUUCGUAGAUAUUCGCAAGAACACCAGUGGCGAAGGCGGCUCACUGGUCCGGUACUGACGCUGAGGUGCGAAAGCGUGGGGAGCAAACAGG